GGAAGAUCAUGCCAAUGGUUAAGAAAGAAGAAGAUGAAAACAGAGAUGAAGAUGGCAGUGCGCGCGGCGCGCGUGCCGAAUUGGCACCACGCCCGGCAAAAGCGCAAAGAUGGCAAGCGCUAACACGUCAGAAAAAGGAACACCCCCAUCUUCAACGAAAAAUGGCCAGCAAGAGAAAGGAAGUACCGCAAGCCCGACACCAGCAUCUACUGGUCAUG
rnacentral:lncRNA from 1 species